AAAUGGCCUUGGAUACUGGAUACCUUGAAUCUGACAGAGGUCGGUGGAAUUCGUAGUGUAGCGGUGAAAUGCAUAGAUAUUACGAAGAACAUCAGUGGCGAAGGCGGCCGGCUGGGUCAGUAUUGACGCUGAGGCACGAGAGCGUGGGGAGCGAACAGGAUUAGAUACCCUGGUAGUCCACGCUGUAAACGAUGUAUGCUAGUUGUUGGGCUUUCGGGCUCAGUGACGCAGUUAACGCAGUAAGCAUACCACCUGGGGAGUACGUUCGCAAGAAUGAAACUCACAGGAAUUGACGGGGGCCCGCACAAGCGGUGGAGCAUGUGGCUUAAUUCGAUGCAACGCGAAGAACCUUACCCGGGCUAAAUCCACGAUGACCGGUCCCGAAACGG
rnacentral:rRNA from 1 species